rnacentral:rRNA from 1 species
CCUACGGGUGGCAGCAGUGAGGAAUAUUGGUCAAUGGCCGAGCGGCUGAACCAGCCAAGUCGCGUGAGGGAAGACGGCCCUACGGGUUGUAAACCUCUUUUGUCGGGGAGCAAAGCGAGUCACGUGUGACCCAUUUAGAGUACCCGAAGAAAAAGCAUCGGCUAACUCCGUUCCAGCAGCCGCGGUAAUACGGAGGAUGCGAGCGUUAACCGGUGUUAUUGGGUUUAAAGGGUUCGCAGGCGGAGGUGCAAGUCAGCGGUCAAAUUCCGGGGCUCAACCCCGUACUGCCGUUGAAACUGCAGCCCUUGAGUGCGCGAGAAGUAUGCGGAAGGCGUGGUGUAGCGGUGAAAUGCAUAGAUAUCACGCAGAACUCCGAUUGCGAAGGCAGCAUACCGGCGCGCAACUGACGCUCAUGCACGAAAGCGUGGGUAUCGAACAGGAUUAGAUACCCUAGUAGUC